ACCCGCUGAACUUAAGCAUAUCAAUAAGCGGAGGAAAAGAAACCAACCGGGAUUGCCCUAGUAACGGCCAGGGAAGCCGCCACAGCUCAAAUUUGAAAUCCGGCCCUAGGGGGCCCAAUUGUUAUUUGGAGAGGAUGCUUUGGGCGCGGUGCCCUCCGAGUUCCUUGGAACAGGACCCCUUAGAGGGUGAGAGCCCCGUACGGUUGGAAACCAAGCCUAUGUAAAGCUCCUUCGACGAGUCGAGGAGUUUUGGGAAUGCUGCUCUAAAUGGGAGGUAAAUUUCUUCUUAAAGCUAAAUACCGGCCAGAGACCGAUAGCGCACAAGUAGAGUGAUCGAAAGAUGAAAAGUACUUUGAAAAGAGGGUUAAAUAGCACGUGAAAUUGUUGAAAGGGAAGCAUUUAUGACCAGACCUUUGCUAGGUGGAUCAUCCGGUGUUCUUCACCGGUGCACUUCGCCUAGCUUAGGCCAGCAUCGAUUUCGUGUAGGGGGAUAAAGGUUUAGGGAACGUAGCUCUCUUGGGAGAGUGUUAUAGCCCUGGGGGUAAUACCCUUACGGGGAUCGAGGUUCGGGCUCGCGGCAAGGAUGCUGGUAAUGUUCAUCAAUGACCCGUCUUGAAACACGGACC
rnacentral:rRNA from 1 species